ACAGGCCCCGUCCCAUGAUACUUCUGAAUGUACCCUGACCAGCCGCCGAUGGAGCGAGUUUCCACUUUGGCACUAGGAGCGGUGUCAAAAUAGUGGGUGCUAUCGGCAGAAGAUAUAUCUAGACCGCUGAGCAUGGCUACAUUGGCAAGAGUAGGAGAAGCAGGGCCGUGGCAAAGAUAAAAGCGUUGAGGGUGUCUGACCAAAAGUAAGAUGCAGCUAUCAACAGUGACUCAUUCCUGUGCAUAUCGGCAAUGGACAAUCUAAUGCAUUGAUCUAGCUUUCUCUCACCCCACUGGACUUCAUUGGAGUUGCUGACCCUCAAGAACCAGUCUUUCCACCCUACAGUAGGGCUGGGCCAAGAACGGAAGGUGUCUUUCCACAGAUCUAAAGAAAAAUUUUCGGUUCUGAAAGGGAUCCGGUUGGUUUCUGCGUUAAUAAGAUCGAUUGGAUCUGGAUCCCCUAGAGGGCCGAGGCAUUAGAGGUGUGGUUGAUCGGUAGGGAUGACAAUUUUGUUGGACAAUUCCUGGAGGUUUUGGAAAUAAAGAAAAAGAACACAAAGAAAAGAGAAAAAAAAUAUUCAGUAAAAUGGAUUGCGGAUGAACGGGGAUGUGAGGAAAAGUACAGGAAAUGGAAUGAAGAACUGACCUCAGGGACGACGAAGCUAAUGGCCAUCUUGCGACGAGGAGGGUCUUUGAGGGCUCUGGGGUUGGUGAGGAAGAGUCUUUGUCGGAGGUCUUGGAGAUUUUGAAUGGCGCCACCGCUAGGUAAGUAAAGUUGGGAUGGUGGAAUGAUGUGAUGGAGAAGGAGUACCCGAGAAGGAACUAUUUAUAUGACAAAAUGGGCAAGGGCAAAUCUGACUUAUCUCCUUGCCGCAUCCGAGAAAUCCGAGGGUGCUCAGGUAGAUAUGGUAACUAUUCGCACGAUAAUCAAGGGAUUGUGCAGGUGAUUUGACGGGAAGCGGUCAUUAUCUGGAGAUAUUUUACUGUGCGGGAUCUCCUGGUCGGUCCAUCGGCAGCGUCCUGUUACGGUCAUAUUGCCGAUGGGCGAGUAAAGUGAAGAUAGCCGUUUGUACGAACGUCCUGAUCAGUUCAUCGGUAGAUCUUUGUAACGGUAAUAUUGCCGAUGUACGGUAAUAUUUCGAGGAAUAUGCAGAAGAAUAGGAUCAGAGCUGUUCAGAUUGAGGUUGUCGG
rnacentral:lncRNA from 1 species